rnacentral:rRNA from 1 species
UUUCGCAAUGCCCGAAAGGGUGACGAAGCGACGCCGCGUGGGUGAAGAAGGCCUUCGGGUUGUAAAGCCCUGUCAGGAGUUAUGAAAUGUAGGUGCGAUAAUACCGUGCCUAUUUGACAAAGGCUCCAAAGGAAGCCACGGCUAACUCUGUGCCAGCAGCCGCGGUAAUACAGAGGUGGCAAGCGUUGUUCGGAAUUAUUGGGCGUAAAGAGCACGUAGGUGGAUUUGUAAGUCAGGUGUGAAAGCCUCCUGUUCAACGGAAGAAUUGCAUCUGAAACUACAAACCUUGAGUGUAGGAGGGGAGAAUGGAACUUCUGGUGGAGCGGUGAAAUGCGUAGAUAUCAGAAGGAACGCCGGCGGCGAAAGCGAUUCUCUGGCCUAUUACUGACACUGAGUGUGCGAAAGCUAGGGGAGCAAACGGGAUUAGAUACCCCGGUAGUCCUAGCCGUAAACGAUGGGCACUAAGUAGAGGGGUUUU